rnacentral:rRNA from 1 species
AUACGGAGGAUACAAGUGGUAUCCGGAUUUAUUGGGUUUAAAGGAUGCGUAGGCGGUUUGCUAAGCGGGCAGGGAAAUGCCUGCGCUCAACGUCGGAAGUGCCUGCCGUACUGGUGGACUUGAAUGACUUUGCCGUGGGAGGUAUUUGGAGUGUAGCGGGGAAAUGUUUAGUGAUUACACAGAACACCGAUUGCGAAGGCAUCUCACGAAGGGUUGAUUGACGCUGAGGCACGAAAGCGUGGGGAGCAAACAGGAUUAGAUACCCUGGUAGUCCACGCCGUAAACGAUGGGCGCUCGUCGUCGGCGGCAGACAGUCGGCGGCCAAGCGAAAGCGAUAAGCGCCCCACCUGGGGAGUACGGUCGCAAGGCUGAAACUUAAAGGAAUUGACGGGG